AAACCCGCAGUUCGUUGACGCCUGACACGACUGUUAGGUUGUUCGGUACCUUCUUUCCCGUUCCUAAACACAGUCACAGUCCGAGUCCCUGAGAUCUUCGCCUUCUCUGUUAAUCGUCCGUACAAUCACCCAAAAACUCCAGAUGGUCAAUUUACCAGUACUGUGGAUAUGAAAGAGAGGAACUCUACAUCCACGCUUAAACGCAUUUUAGUGACUUGUGCAGCACAGGGAAAAGAAUAUGGGGGUUGUGUUGCAGCAAAGGUUCCACAAGUUGAACGUGAUAUGUGCUUGAAAGAAUUUCUUGCAUUAAAGAGUUGCAUGCAAAACGUGCUGCGAGGAAAGGCUUGAACCAGCAAGCGUGAUUCUUCAGUGCUUGGACACAGUAGUUGGAACUGUUCUAAAAAAGCGUUGAGGCUGGUUUAGGAUUAUCAGCAGCAGUACUUGCUAAACCCUGCAAUAACUCUUCAAAAGUCUGAAAAUCAAGAUGUCUGGAAAAGCAUCAAGUUCACAGUCUAGUAUUGGUUUGAGUGGGUCUGGUGCUCUUUCACAUGUUUAUAUUCCAUAUCUGCCCCUAAGAUGCAGCGUAGCUGGAUCAAGGGGUUUAUUUUAUGAUGAUGGCAAUAAGCUGCUGCUUUCCCCAACAUCAGAUCAGGUCUUCUGUUGGAAAACUGUUCCUUUUGAUCCUGUGGUUACUCCUACCUCUGAUUCAAUUAGUGAAGGGCCCAUCUUAUCCAUUCGAUAUUCGUUAGAUGCAAAGUUUAUAGCAGUCCAAAGAUCUGAUCAUGAGAUACAGUUUUGGGAUAGAGGAAGUGGGGAAACUUUUAGUCAGAGGUGCAGGUCAGAGUCAGAGAGCAUACUGGGAUUUUUUUGGACAGAUUGUCCAAUGUGUGAUGUUGUAUUUGUAAAGACCAGUGGGCUGGACUUGUUUGCUUACAAUUCUGAGUCAAGAUCACUCCAAUUGGUCGAGACAAGGAAAUUACAUGUGAGUUGGUAUGUUUACACACAUGAAAGUCGCUUGGUUCUUCUUGCUUCAGGAAUGCAGUGCAAAAUCUUCAAUGGUUUUCAGCUCUCAUCUGCAGGGAUUAUUCGUCUGCCAAAGUUUGAGAUGGCAAUGGCUAAAUCUGAGGCUAACAAUAAACCUGUCCUUGCUGCUGAAGAUAUUUUUAUAGCCACUAUCUAUGGUAGAAUAUACUGCCUGCAAGUUGAUAGGAUUGCAAUGCUCCUCCAUUCUUAUAGGUUUUACCGUGAUGUGGUUGUACAACAGGGUUCUUUGCCAAUUUAUUCAAGCAAGGUUGCUGUGAGUGUGGUUGAUAAUGUACUGCUUGUGCAUCAAGUGGAUGCGAAGGUUGUUAUACUGUAUGAUAUAUUUGCAGAUUCUCGGGCACCCAUAUCGGCCCCACUUCCUCUACUAUUCAGGGGUUUCCCCAGGUCCAAUUCUUCUUCCCUGCGACCGAAUAGGGAAGAUACUGAAAGUUCAGAAGUUAAUGUUAUGAGUGACCAUGAAGCAAUCGUCUAUGGAGAUGACUGGAGUUUUCUUGUUCCUGACCUCAUAUGUGAUGUUGUUAAUCAACUUUUGUGGAAGAUUCAUUUAGAUUUGGAGGCAAUUUCUGCCAGUAGCUCAGAAGUACCAUCAGUACUUGAAUUCUUGCAGCGGCGGAAAUUGGAAGCCAAUAAGGCUAAACAAUUGUGCUUGUCAAUAGCGCGUACUGUUAUUCUAGAACGGAGACCUGUGUCUACAGUUUCCCGGGCAAUAGAUGUUUUAGUUUCUUCCUACUCCCACUCUGUUAAGACAGGCACCUAUAUUAAGGGGAUAAAGUCUGGAAAAACAUCACCUUCUAUUGUGCCACAGACGAGUGGCCCUAGGUCCAGUGCUGAUGUAUCUGCAAGUAGAGUGUGUGCAGUUGGAAAAUCCAUUAAACAUGAAUCUGCGGCUGGAGUGGACAGUGAAUCGCCGAAUAGAUUUUUAAACAUUUCAGAUUCCGACUCUGAGGAUAUUGCAAGCUUUGAACCCCCAAGGACCACUUCAAAUAACGUUCAAUUGUUUGAUGGUAAAUUGGCCAGGGGGAAAUUAACGGGUGCUGAAACUUCUGGUGGUGAAGUUCGGUCUUCUUCUCUAAGAUCGGGCAACAGCCCAUUGGAUGCUAAUGUUUUGGAGCAGCAAGAGUCCCAACCUACCUCUCCAGUAAUUUCAUCUGAUGAAAUGUACAGUUUUGUGUUUGCUCCUGUUGAGGAAGAGAUGAUUGGAGAACCUUCUUACUUGGUUGCCAUCAUUGUUGAGUUUCUUCGCAGCGCUAAUUUGGAAAAGGUUGAAGUCCAUCCUAAUCUCUAUGUUCUGACCAUACAAUUACUUUCACGCAGUGAGCGAUAUGCAGAACUUGGGCAGUUUGUCUUAAACAAGAUUCUUGAACCUUCUAGAGAAGUAGCAAUGCAACUCCUAGAGUCUGGCCGUCAGCACUCCCUGACAAGGAAGUUGGGUUUAGAUAUGCUGAGGCAGCUUUCUUUGCAUCAUGACUAUGUACUGUUACUAGUGCAAGAUGGAUAUUACCUUGAAGCAUUACGCUAUGCACGGAAAUACAAGGUCAGUACCGUACGAGCUUCAUUGUUUCUCGAGUCAGCAUUUACCUCCAAUGACUUGCAACAUUUAGCUGCCGUCCUUAGAUUCUUUUCGGAUUUCAUUCCUGGAUUCAGAGACACAUCAGAUCACGACACUUACUACCGCAUUCUCAACGAGAGAAACUCAUCCAUUGCUGCUUGAAUUUCCUCAUAGUAUGCCUAGGACAACAGAAUAAUGCCAUAAUUACGAAGUGCGUUAGAGCUGUAUAAGUAUUCAGAACUCCUUUUGCAAGUACCACAUAUCAGCUUAGGUGAUUAAAAGUCGUGUGGCGUGGACUUAUUGCUCCGAAUUCUUUUAAGGGAGCAGAUGUAGGGUUCCGGAAAAAUUUACCCUCCAAAACUCAGAAAUUUCUCUUAUCCAACACAACUAGCAGCUAGAGCAUCUCAAGAGGUUGAGAAAGCAUACUUGGAUCGACAGAAAUGGUGGGCGGAAGUGAGAGAACGAGCUCCCAAAAAAUUUCAGAAAAAUUGUUGGAACCGGCCUGUUUCGUGGCUGUUUCCGACUACUGCAGUGGCGGAUUGAGGCUAAGAGGGGCAGGGCUGAUAGAGGAAAGUGAGGUGGUUCGUUUGGGACUGGUCUUGCCUGAAACGGUGGCCCGAGUUGGGAGAAAUCGCUGUCUGAAGUUGGCUGGUCGUGGUGGUCGCAAGAGAGAAGAAAAUCUGAGUUUUUAAAACUGAACAUCGAAAUAUUUACGGUUAUGCAAACUUCUUCGUUACAACUCCGAUUUGAGCCCACUACGUGUCUA